rnacentral:rRNA from 1 species
CGGGGUGCACCAGGCGCGAAAACUCUACAAUGCAGGCAACUGCGAUAGGGGAACAUCGAGUGAUCCUCAUAUUGGGGGUCUGUCCACCCGUCUAAAAAACGGGUGUUAGCAAGGGCCGGGCAAGACCGGUGCCAGCCGCCGCGGUAAUACCGGCGGCUCGAGUGGUGGCCGAUAUUAUUGAGUCUAAAGGGUCCGUAGCCGGCUUUGCAAGUCUCUCGGGAAAUCCAGCGGCUUAACCGUUGGUCGUCCGGGGGGUACUACAUUGCUUGGGACUGGGAGAGGUAGGAGGUACUCAGGGGGUAGGAGUGAAAUCCUGUAAUCCUUUGGGGACCACCGGUGGCGAAGGCGUCCUACCAGAACAGGUCCGACGGUGAGGGACGAAAGCUAGGGGCACGAACCGGAUUAGAUACCCGGGUAGUCCUAGCCGUAAACGAUGCUCGCUAGGUGUCACAACAGUCGUGAACUGUUGUGGUGCCGUAGGGAAGCCGUGAAGCGAGCCACUUGGGAAGUACGACCGCAAGGUUGAAACUUAAAGGAAUUGGCGGGGGAGCACAAGGGCGAUUCGCG